UACGUAGGGUGCAGGCGUUAAUCGGAAUUACUGGGCGUAAAGCGUGCGCAGGCGGCUCCUUAAGUCAGAUGUGAAAGCCCCGGGCUUAACCCGGGAACUGCGUUUGAAACUGGGGAGCUAGAGUGUGGAAGAGGGGGGUGGAAUUCCAGGUGUAGCAGUGAAAUGCGUAGAGAUCUGGAGGAACACCGAUGGCGAAGGCAGCCCCCGGGGCUAACACUGACGUUCAUGCACGAAAGCGUGGGGAGCAAACAGG
rnacentral:rRNA from 1 species